rnacentral:rRNA from 1 species
UACGAAGGGAGCUAGCGUUGUUCGGAAUUACUGGGCGUAAAGGGCGCGUAGGCGGACACUUAAGUCAGGGGUGAAAUCCCAGGGCUCAACCCUGGAAUUGCCUUUGAUACUGGAUGUCUGGAGUUCGGGAGAGGUGAGUGGAAUUCCGAGUGUAGAGGUGAAAUUCGUAGAUAUUCGGAGGAACACCAGAAGCGAAGGCGGCUCACUGGCCCGAUACUGACGCUGAGGCGCGAAAGCGUGGGGAGCAAACAGG